UACGUAGGGGGCAAGCGUUGUCCGGAGUUACUGGGCGUAAAGCGCCCGCAGGCGGUCAGCUGCGUGAGUGGUGACAGUCCUCGGCUUAACCGAGGAAGCGCUGCUCAAACGGGCUAACUUGAGGACCAGAGAGGGACACGGAACUCCGAGUGGAGCGGUGAAAUGCGUAGAGCUUCGGAAGAACACCAAAGGCGUAGGCAGUGUCCUGGCUGGCUCCUGACGCUCAUGGGCGAAAGCUAGGGGAGCAAACGGG
rnacentral:rRNA from 1 species